GGAUCGAUAGGUGAUGGAGUUCACCUUUAACCGCCGACAGGCUGAUGACUCCUGCCAGUAA
rnacentral:ncRNA from 1 species